rnacentral:tRNA from 1 species
GGGGAUGUAGCUCAGUGGUAGAGCGUUUGCCUAGCAAGUGCAAGGCCCUGGGUUCAGUCCCCAGCUCCG